GUAAUAUAAGAUACGGUCUUUUAGCUUUUAACUAAAAAAACUAAGAGACGUCUCUUAGUUUUUUUAGUUAAAAGCUAAGAGACCGUAUUUUAUAUUAC
rnacentral:pre_miRNA from 1 species